AACGCUGGCGGCGUGCCUAACACAUGCAAGUCGAACGAGAUCCAUGGGAGCUUGCUCCCGGAAGAUCUAGUGGCGAACGGGUGAGUAACACGUGAGAAACCUGCCCUGGGGUGGGGAAUAACUCGGGGAAACUCGAGCUAAUACCGCAUACCCUCGGAUGGUCGCAUGGCCGACCGAGGAAAGAUUUAUCGCUCUAGGAGGGUCUCGCGGCCUAUCAGCUAGUUGGUGGGUAACGGCCUACCAAGGCAACGACGGGUAGCUGGUUUGAGAGAACGAUCAGCCACACUGGGACUGAGACACGGCCCAGACUCCUACGGGAGGCAGCAGUGGGGAAUCUUGCGCAAUGGGCGAAAGCCUGACGCAGCAACGCCGCGUGCGGGAUGACGGCCUUCGUGGUUGUAAACCGCUUUCAGCAGGGACGAAAAUGACGGUACCUGCAGAAGAAGCCCCGGCUAACUACGUG
rnacentral:rRNA from 1 species